rnacentral:tRNA from 1 species
GGGGCUGUAGCUCAGUGGCAGACUACAUGCCUAGCACACAUGAGGCACUGAGUUCAAUCCUCAGCACCACA